GGCAGGCCUAACACAUGCAAGUCGAGCGCACCUUCGGGUGAGCGGCGGACGGGUUAGUAACGCGUGGGAACGUACCCUUUUCUACGGAAUAGCCUUUGGAAACGAAGAGUAAUACCGUAUACGCCCUUUGGGGGAAAGAUUUAUCGGAGAAGGAUCGGCCCGCGUUAGAUUAGAUAGUUGGUGGGGUAACGGCCUACCAAGUCUACGAUCUAUAGCUGGUUUUAGAGGAUGAUCAGCAACACUGGGACUGAGACACGGCCC
rnacentral:rRNA from 1 species